UUUUGGAGUUUAGUUUGUUGCAGAUGAGAGAUUGCAGUGUUGCUUGGGUAUUUGAGUUGUAUUCAUGUUUAUUCUGUUACCUCAUAUGUUCCUGUGCUUGCUUUGCCCAUCUACACACCUGCCCUGCAUCUGGCAUCGUUAGCCCUGCCCUGCAUUUCCCCACAUCUGCCCUGUAUCAUAAAUAAACCUUUGAAGUAUAUUUUUGAGAACCACACAGUUCUCAGGGCACGCUGAGACUUCCUCUCCUUCCCCUCCGGCCAGCACCAGUAGGGCUGGUGUGAACCAAGACCAGCCGCAGUGAACUGCUGCCUUCCAGAUCACACCAAGUACCCGUGCUUGUGGGUCAGGCACCUGGGACCAGCUGCAGCUAGCUGAUGCCUUCCCAGCACCCUGGCCACCGUUCCCACACUCCACCGAGUACUUCCACAUAAGAAAACCGGGACCAGCUGCAGUGAACUGCUGUCUUCCCUCUUUCCCCCAGCGUGCUGGACCUCAGAUGACUGCUGCUCACCACAGAGACAGACGGCACACUGGCUGUCAGAUAUUGUUUGGCGAAGCCUGAAACUAUUAUUUUGUGGGACUGAAUGACUCCAGAGACCAGACCGCAUGCGCCAAAAGAAGCCGGGCAACGACAGGCGCAUGAUGGCUUGAUGUUAAUUAGUUAUGUUAAAGUGCGUGCAUGCAGUGGGGAAUAAAAGGAGUUCUCUGUGAUUGA